UACGAAGGGGGCUAGCGUUGUUCGGAAUUACUGGGCGUAAAGGGCGCGUAGGCGGUGUGUCAAGUCAGGCGUGAAAGCCCCGGGCUCAACCUGGGAACCGCGCUUGAGACUGGCACGCUCGAGUUCGGGAGAGGAUGGUGGAAUUCCCAGUGUAGAGGUGAAAUUCGUAGAUAUUGGGAAGAACACCGAUGGCGAAGGCAGGUCUCUGGGCCACUACUGACGCUGAGAAGCGAAAGCAUGGGGAGCGAACAGG
rnacentral:rRNA from 1 species